rnacentral:rRNA from 1 species
AUUGAACGCUGGCGGCAGGCCUAACACAUGCAAGUCGAGCGAGCGGCGGACGGGUGAGUAAUGUAUGGGGACUGCCCGAUAGAGGGGGCUAACUACUGGAAACGGUGGCUAAUACCGCAUACUAUCGGAUAACCCAUAUGGGAUUAGCUAGUAGGGGGGGUAAAGGCUCACCUCGGCGACGAUGUCUAGCUGGGCUGAGAGGAAGAUCAGCAACACUGGGACUGAGACACGGCCCAGACUCCUACGGAGGCAGCAGUGGGGAAGAUUGGACAAUGGGCGCAAGCCUGAUGCAGCAAUGCCGCGUGAAUGAAGAAGGCCUUAGGGUUGUAAAGCACUUUCAGCAGGGAGGCGUUACCCGCAGAGGAAGCACCGGCUAACUCCGUGCCAGCAGCCGCGGUAAUUC